UACGAAGGGGGCUAGCGUUGCCCGGAAUCACUGGGCGUAAAGCGCACGUAGGCGGAUCUUUAAGUCAGGGGUGAAAUCCCAAGGCUCAACCUUGGAACUGCCUUUGAUACUGGGGAUCUCGAGUCCGGAAGAGGUUGGUGGAACUGCGAGUGUAGAGGUGAAAUUCGUAGAUAUUCGCAAGAACACCAGUGGCGAAGGCGGCCAACUGGUCCGGUACUGACACUGAGGUGCGAAAGCGUGGGGAGCAAACAGG
rnacentral:rRNA from 1 species